AUCCUUUUGUAGUUCAUAAGCGUGAUGAUUGGGUCUUCACGCGCAUGCGUGAGAUGUGCCUCCCUCAAACCUUGUUACGAUAUCAGCACAUUACCCGUCUGACG
rnacentral:snoRNA from 1 species